GACGAACGCUGGCGGCGUGCUUAACACAUGCAAGUGGAGCGACGAACCGGGCUUCGGCCCGGGGCAGAGCCGCGAACGGGUGAGUAACACGUGGGUUACGUGCCCCGAUGACCGGGACAACCCGAGGAAACUCGGGCUAAUACCGGAUGUGCCCUCUCCUCACAAGGGGAGCGGGGAAAGGUAGCUUCGGCUUCCGCGUCGGGAUCGGCCCGCGGCCCAUUAGCUUGUUGGUGAGGUAACGGCUCACCAAGGCUGCGAUGGGUAGCUGGUCUGAGAGGACGAUCAGCCACACUGGGACUGAGACACGGCCCAGACUCCUACGGGAGGCAGCAGUGGGGAAUCUUGCGCAAUGCGCGAAAGCGUGACGCAGCAACGCCGCGUGCGGGAAGACGGCCUUCGGGUUGUAAACCGCUUUCAGUUGGGACGAAGCUUCAGUGGUGAACAGCCAUUUGGAGUGACGGUACCUUCAGAAGAAGCCCCGGCUAACUACGUGCCAGCCGCCGCCGUAAUAC
rnacentral:rRNA from 1 species